rnacentral:lncRNA from 1 species
GAGAGAAGGCAGGGCUGAAAUACGGUGUGGCCAUGGCACAGGCUCCUUCCCACAGCUUGGCUCAGCAGGAUGGUUAGAUUUCCCACGCGUCAAAAGAAUGCUGAGGAAGGUACUGGGCCUGGGCUGACUUGCUGUGCCCCCCUCUGCCCCCCGAAGAUAGCCACCCUCUGGAUGAGGGUCUCCAAGCAACAAGAGUUUGUGAGCCCGCUGAAUAUGGACUCCAACGGUGCCCUAGGGGAUGGUGGAGCCACCAGAUGGAAGGAGCCUGGUGAUCCCGAGAAGGAGAGAUGCCUCGCUGACCUGAACAUCUUUCCAGAACUGUUAACUACAGAAAUAACGAAUGGGUACUGACAGAAGGAAAACCUGCUCAACAAGUGAAAAAAAGAAAAAGCAAAAUGGUGUAUUUUUAACAAAAUUAUACUAAGGGAAUCUAAGGUACCCCUUGUAGCAAUAUAAAACAUUACUUUUGGAUUGUGUUUUACCAUAUACAAAAUGAUUGUAUGUGUAUAAUUUCUUUUAAUUCUCACAGCCAUGUGAAGAAUGUAUCAUUACUAGAUGUGCAAUGCCUUUAUUCUCUGCAGAAGCUACAUCAAAGGUUCUGAAUGUGUGCUAACCACUUACAUUGUCUAUACAAAUAAUUUCAUUGUAUAUCAUCACCUGUGAACAACAUGGCCAAUACCAGAACCAGGAGGGAGAAGUGUUGGUUAAGUAGUACAGAAAACCCAGGUGCUCAAAAUUAAUAUAAGAAUCCAUCAUUAUAUGGUGACUUCUGAUGUGUGAGUUCCAGAAAUGAAAAAAUCUAACAAUAACUACAGUAUGUAAAAAGUAAAGUAAUAUAUUUAAGACCAAUAAAAAUAAAUCAGAAAUGUAUGUUACAUUUAGUAUUAUAUUUAAUGGUGUGGUAAUAGGAAAUGGUAUGUAUUUGUAAUUACACAUUAUAAAAAGGUUAUGAAAAUAACCCCUCCUGGGCUAGAACAUUCUAUGCUAUGCACAAAAGCCACAAACUACACAGAGAUAAAUGCAUUUAGAAAGAAUGAAUAUGGCAGCAAUGACACUUCUGGAGUUAGAUUGCCAUUCAAAGUGACUACAGUGAAUCUAUCAGUUACAGCUGGAAUCCCUCUGAGCAUAGUCAGGUGGUACAACUGUGACCACUGAGAAAAAAGGCAUUAUUAGGAAAAUGGAUAUAGCCUUAGUGUAAACUGAAAGUGAGAUGGCUUUUACCAUGGGACAAAAUUGUUAAUAAAAGUUGAGAGUUCUUCAGUACUGGUAUAUAAUUAUUUUGAAUCAUUAAUGCUAACAAAAAAUUGGAAAUAAAAAGAAAAUGCAAUGAACUCAGUAAGAUAUAUAUUAGUUUUACUAUGUACUUUAGGACAGGGGUUCUCAACCUUUCCCUUGUUAUGCACAAGAGAAAUGAUACUUUGUGAAUGAUACACUGAAAUGAACAGAUGAAGCUGCUCAUGGCCAGAGAUCACUUGCCAUAGGGCUCCUGUUCCCCUCUAGGUUCAGGCUGGCUACCCAAGGGUUGACAGGAUCCUAGGAUUAAAACCCUAAUGUAACUCAUUCUUGGUACACCAGUGUUGUGGCACAGUUGUUAGAGGAAGCUCUAUAUUAAAAGAUGUUGUUGUCAGUGAAAUAUGCAUAAUAAUUCUUGGCGCUGUUUUGUGGUUGUAUCUACAACACAUUACAAUUAUAUUAAAAUGGAAGGAAAAAGUAUCUUUGUAAAGUAAACAUUGCCAAGAAAAUAUCCAUCUGGGACUAGGGUGCCCAGAACUUAAAUUCUUAUUCUUAUUCAGUUCUGAGUGUUCAGAUGUGAAAUGAGAUGUGUCCAGAAGCCCAUUCUAUGUUUCAGGCCAAUUCUGAUAAAGAGGGUCCCUGGAAAGUUUAACCAAUUUACAAACUAAUCUGGGGUUUUGAGGUUACUUAUAUCCACACUGUAUCUCUUUACUCAGAUUCCUCUACAAUUAAAUGCAAUCUCCUGAACAUCUCAUGACCUGAGGAUAAAUUAUGUUUGGAAUAGUCUUGCUAGUUUAAUCCAAACUAGAAGUGUGGAUAUAAAGUGCAGUGUAUUAAAUAAUUUGGUGACUGUUUUACAAAUCUAUUAAUUAUUAUAAUAAAUAAGCUGUGGUAAGGCCCUUUCUCUGUAACAUCUACUCUUUUUAUAUUGCACCUAAUGGACAACCACUUUUUCUUACAAAAGAAAUGAGAAAUGAAUGUAUGUGUGUGUCUGUGUGUGAUCAAUAUAUUAGAUCAUGCAUCUGCAAACCAUGGGCCUAAGACAAAUAUGGCCUACAACCUGUUUUUGUAAAUAAAGUCAUUUGGGACACAGACAUAUCUAUUCAUUUACAUCCUGUCUAAGGCUACUUUUGUGCUAAAAUAGCAAAAUAGAACCUGUGUAACCUAUAGUGUUGAAAAUAUUCACCAUCUAGUUCUUUACAGAAAAAGUUUUGCUGACCCCUGUGCAUAGAAUAGUAAGAGAUAAGAGACUGCAUAUUAAGAUAGAACCUCUCCCUUCUUGAAAAGAUGCUAUUAACCAAACCAAAACCAAAUUAACAUGUACAUAAAUUCAAAAUGUAGCAGAAAAAGAAAAUACUUUAAUAAAUAUGAUAUUUCAAGGCUAUCUGAACUAUAUUUAUACAUUUAUAUGUAAACGUAUGUGUAAACUUCAUAUAAACUUAAACUCUAGUCAUUCUUUUGAAUAGUAUUUCAUUUAGGUGGAUAAUCAAAGGAACUUUUGUUCAU